CUUUUUGCCAUUUCUUGGGCCACUCCUGUGGCAUAUGGAGGUUCCCAGGCUAGGGGUCGAAUCGGAGCUGUAGCCACCGGCCUACGCCAGAGCCAUAGCAAUGCAGGAUCCGAGGCACCACAGCUCACGGCAACACUGAGCAAGGGCAGGGAUCAAACCCGCAACCUCAUGAUUCCUAGUCAGAUUCGUUAACCACUGCGCCACGAUGGGAACUCCUAUUUUUUUUUUUUAAUUUUUAAAAUUAUAGUUGAUUUACGAUGUUCUGUCAUUUUCUGCCAUACAGCAAAGUGACCCGGUUAUACGUAUAUGUAUAAAUACACAUUCUUUUUCUUACAUUAUCUCCUACCAUAUUCUAUCACAAGUGAUUGAAUAGAGUUCCCUGUGCUAUACAGCAGGACUUCAUUGCAGUCAUAUAUCAUAUAUACAUUCUUUUUCUCACGUUAUCCUCCACCAUGUUCCAUCUCAAGUGACUAGAUAUAGUUCCCUGUGCUAUACAGCAGGAACUCAUGGCUUAUCUACCGACCAAUGCAUCUGUUCCCCAGACUCCCAGUCCCUUCCACUCCCUCCCCCCGCCCUUGGCAACCACAAGUCUGUUCUCCAAGUCCACGAGUUUCUUUUCUGUAGAAAGUUUCAUUUGUGUCAUAUAUUAGAUUCCAGAUAUAUGUGAUAUUAUGUAGUAUUCAUCUUUCUCUUUCUGACUUACUUCCCUUAGUAUGAGAGUCUCUCCAUCCAUGUUGCUGCAAAUGGCAUUACUUUGUUAUUUUUUAUGGCUGAGUAUAUUCCUUUGUGUAUAUAUAUCACAUCGUCUUCAUUCAUUCAUCUGUUAAUGGACAUUUAGGUUGUUUCCAUGUCUUGGCUAUUGUGAAGAGUGCUGCAGUGAACAUAGGGGUGCAUGCGUCUUUUUGAAUGAAAGUUUUGUCUGGAUGCCCAGGAGUGAGAUUGCUGAAUCAUGUGCUAGUUCUAUAUUUAGUUUUCUGAGGAAACUCCAUGCCGUUUUCCACCUAACAUUUUACCAAUGGGGACACUCAAGUCCAGAGGGGGAGAUGCCGACCCAGCUACGUUGAGGCCCACAUAUGCCACAGUUCCCAGGGUCCCCAUGUGACCCGGGCAAUAGCAAUGACAAAACCAUGACCAGGCACCCACAUGCUUGCCCUAUAUAUGGGCUGGGCAUGUAUUACCUCAUUUAAUCUUCACAAGCAGUUUGUGAGGUAGGUACUAUUAGAAACCAAGCACAGAGAGGUUAGACAACUGCCCAGGGUCACACAGCCAGAGCAAACAUGGUCAGGAUUGGAGCCUAGGAGUGUUGGGAUCCAAAGCCUGCAUUCUUUCCAUCACCUGCCCCACCUCCCAUUCGAAACACAGCAACCUCGUUUUCCAGAACAAACCCAAGGAUCCUUCCAGAAUCUUCAUCAUCAUUGCUCCGAGGGUCAUAAUCACUGCACUCCUGUUGUUUGGGGACUUUCUGGUCCUUCUGAGGAUCAGCCACCCUCAUGUGGCCUUGGUCAAGCACUGUGGCCUCGCUGAGCCUCAAGUCCCCCACUGAAAACUGAUGCCAAGGCCACUGCACUGCAGAUCGGGCUCAUGGAAUCAGAUCGCACAGCAUGGUCCUGCCCCCGGCAGAGGCCUGGCCCGCAUCUGUCCCCUCUUUCCAGCCCUCCUUCUCCUUGGUAGGCAAUUCUGGUUCUGGUUCUGGGGUGACGGGGUGGGUUUCUUUCCACGGCCAGGGUUCGGGAGGCUUUGCAUAUUUAUGUGGGCGGCCAUGGCGUUUUCUCCUCGACAAAGAAUCCUCACUGAACAACCCUCUCCACCCGCCUCCAGGAUGCUCGGAGCCAGCUCAAUGAGGCGCUUGUGGCAGUGCCAGCCGCAUUGUGUAUUGUCCCAGGUCAGACGCAGUCACUGAGGGUCCGAGAUCAAGGUCACGCCUGGGGCGGGCAGUGUGUGCAAAGUGCAGGCUGGCUCUGCCGCAGCCUCUACCACGGCCUCCACCACGGCCUCCGCCGCAGCCUCGUGACCCCAUGGAUUGGUCCCAGGCCCUGGGCCGUGGGGACUUCCACAAAGAAAGGCCCCUUUCCACCCCUAAUUGAGGCACCCACGGCUGGCUGGCUGCUCUCAGACCUUAGAGAGCAGCCCUGCCCGGGCUCAGGCAAAACCCCACAUUCCUUACCGGAGCCUUGAACUGAAAUGACCCUGGAGCCCAAAGCGGAAUGAGCCCCCAGCUGAGGCCAAAUGUUCAUUUUUCACUGAACUGGAACAGCGCUUGUGCGCACUCCAGAGCCAUUCACUCGGAACAUCCCUGUAUUUGUUUAUCCAUCAAAUAAACACUUACUGGCCACUGUCCUGUGGGUCAGACACCGUUCAAGGCACUGCGGAUACAUAAGGGCAGAAUAGGCAUGACGUCUGCCUCAAGCCGUCAUAGUAGCCUAAACAGACAGAUGGCACAGUUCAAGACGUGGUGGCCACAUCCACACUCAGUGCAGGGGUAGCCCUGGUACCUGGAGGGACUCGGUGUGUUCCAUGGAGAAAAGCAGGUGGAGGAUGCUGGGAGAAAGAAACAGACAGAGGGAGGUGGUACCCUCACCGCCGUGACCAGGGGCUAGAGGAACAGAAAGCAGAGGCCCACUCCCAGUCCUGGCAAUCUCAGUCUCAAGCAAACCUGCACUUCACCUCCCUGAACUGCAAGAAACCACAUAAUAUAAGAAUAAUA
rnacentral:lncRNA from 1 species